rnacentral:rRNA from 1 species
UACGUAGGGUGCAAGCGUUGUCCGGAAUUAUUGGGCGUAAAGAGCUCGUAGGCGGUCUGUCGCGUCGGAUGUGAAAACCCAGGGCUCAACCCUGGGCCUGCAUUCGAUACGGGCAGUCUAGAGUUCGGUAGGGGAGACUGGAAUUCCUGGUGUAGCGGUGAAAUGCGCAGAUAUCAGGAGGAACACCGGUGGCGAAGGCGGGUCUCUGGGCCGAAACUGACGCUGAGGAGCGAAAGCGUGGGGAGCAAACAGG